GCUGACUGUGAGGUACAGGGUCAAAGUUUACUCAAUGAUGAGUCUGCGGAGAACCGUUUGUGGUGAACCGUUCGGCGAACCGUUCGGGACAUCACUAUUAAUGACCACUUUUCUCGAUUUAAGCUACAAGAGCCUGUAAGUAAACUUUAUAUUUUAAGUAAACGAUAUAAAUGGAAUAAAAUAAAUUCUGCACACACUUGGUGACACUUUCAAUAAUAAUAACUCAAUUUAUUCUAGCUUACCAUUAUUGUGUUGGCAAUAGAGGUCUGCUGUGUUUGUAGCAUGUACACCCAUCACUUCCAUAAACCACUCUGCAAAGGCCAACUUUUGUAAUUGCAGCUAAAGUACACGUUAUUGUUAGAAGGGUGUUGUAGCAGUGACGCAAGCAUUGACUAUUUCACCACUUUUAAAUGCCAAUAAAAAAAAGGUUGGGUGACAUAAAACAAAGAUUGGAGUCGUAGUUCUGUAAUGGCUUGAGAUUGCACAUUUAUGAAAUGUUUGGGCCUUGAUCGGGAAGGCCUGAAAGUCUAUCUUUGCUGUAACCAUGAUAUGUUGACGAUGUCUUGGGGUGUCUUCAUGCACGCAGUGUAUUGGUACACUCUAUAAACAUCGUUACCAGACAGUGUUAGAAAAGGUACAAAAAAUCCAGCACUGUCUAGUAAGAUGUCCAUAGAGGACCAUGCUUCUCCUCAUCUCCAGAAGAACAUCAACUUAUACUUUUGCUGUCAUACAAUCAGCAUUCUUCAUAUUUCGAAGACAAAACAGCCUUGUAUGACCUGACAUUCAUAUAGAUCCAUUAUCAAAACCAAAAUCAGAAUUGAAGAAAACAGUAGUUAUAGCAUAUGUUGAAGAGCAACUUAGUCUGAAGCCUCUAAACAUGUGUGGCAUGCUGUUAUCACACUUUAAUUUUAAUCAUUUAUGUCAUACACAAGCAUUGUAAAUCUAGCCCAACCUUAGCUGGCAGGUAAGGGACGCUUAUCUUUGAAGAUAACAGUGGACUGGAUUGUAUGAGUGUGACAAGGUAGUUAGCAAUAAUAUUUCAGACUAACAGAGCCAUUUCGAAAAACGUACGUAUUUGACCAUUUUGCAAUAUGUUUUUUAAAUACAGCUUGCAACUCGAUUGUGAACCAACAUCAACUUAUCCAAUUAAAAAAAACCUCAAAAUAUUGUACUCCUGCUUUUUAAUUCUUAUGGGCAUGGAAAUAAAUGCUUUGUUGUUAGGUAAUUGUAAUGUAGUUACAAUUAUUACCUCUAAACUCAUAAUUUGAAAACAUUACACAAUAUACACAACAAUAUUCAUUGCUCAUGCCAUAUUAUAAUGGUAAUAAUGCAGUGUUACGUAAACUGCACUUAGUUGUAAAAAGUUACCAUAUAUUUGAUAAAGCUUUUUUGGAAGCAGAUGAUAUAAUAAUGAGUGUUUGUUUCUGAAGUACCAGUGGAUCACAUUCUAUUUUGCACUAUGGGAUUCACCAUAAGGUUUUAAACAAGGGUUCAUUUGUUGAGUAUUAUCCAUAUACAAAUGUAGACAUCUAUAUUUCUCAAGGCAAAACUAGAGCAAUUAUGGACCCAAUAAAUUUAAUAUAGAGAAGAUAACAUGAUUUGGGAUAAAUUAUCCAUUUUCUGUUAAUUUAUUUUUAGCACUCUUUACCAGAAUUGCCCCAAUUUUUUUUUUUGGUAUCACUUAACGUUGAUGACUUCUCAGCUACAAUGCACUGAUCACUCUGCAUACAUUAAAAACGAUCAACAUUUUGAGUUUAUCCACUAACCAUAAGGUAAUUUUGAUGGUUAAUCCACCAACUUUAGAAACUGUUAAAACCUCAGGUAUGAAGUUUCCUUUCCCACCAGGGUCAAAUCAGCCUGUUGUCUGUAAGUGUUCAGUAAAAUGAGUUCCACUGGAUAAUUAUUAUUUUGGUCAGUUGCUCAUUCACGGAAGUCUGUGAGCAUGCACUAAGAGUUUUGUCUCUCCUUUAGGGGAAAGGGCACUAUAUAAGUAGAUAGUUAUUCUUACUUACUUUCAUGCCACCUUUCCCAAGUUGUGUGUGGGACGCCAUAAUCAUCAUUACCAGGCAGUAUUAGAAAAACAGACAACAUCCAAUGCUGCCCAGUAAGAUGGCAAUAACGCCACAAAGUCCAAGUCACAAGCAAGAAGCGAAAUCCAGAAGAAACAGGAAAAGAAGAGGUGGGUUAGAUGGUAAGCUGUUUGGCCAAGGUGUACGUUUAGUUGAUUUAUGACACUUACUGUGUUUACCUGCAAUCACUUCACAAUCUUUACUUUAACCAGUGUUCCAAUGUGACAGAAAAUAUUUUACAUGCUGAACAUUCUACAGACUGUGGUGUAGACACAGGGAGGCAACAAGCAUGCCAAUAGGUAUGUUCUAGGGCAGAGGUUCCCAACCCAGUCCAGAAGCACCCCCUAACAGUCCAGGACUUAGGUACCAGCCUGUUGAGUCUAAAGUUUUUUUUUUUCUAUAAACACCUUUGGGAAUCCUUAAAUCCUGGACUGUUGGGGGUAUUUGAGAAAUGGGUUGGGAACCACUGUUCUUGGGCAAAAGUUAACUAAUUAUCACCCUGAAGAUUGGUCUACUGACAGACAGUCCUAUCCCAGCAUUCAAAUGGUUAAUAACUCUUACCUCCCCCUCCCUAUUGACCAUAUGAUGUCAGAAACACAUGAAUGAGAGAAAAGAGAAUUGAUGAGUUUGGGUUAAUUAAAUACUUUCAUUGAAAGAGAACAAAAUAUAUUACAAUUAUAAAACAGCAAAAAGGGACAUAUUAAUUGAAAAAAAUAAACAAU